CUUUCGAAAUAAAGCUCAUUCUACACUACAAGAAACUGCCAUUACCAAUUCUGAGUUACUGUGAAGAACAAGCUGUUCACAAUAAAUAAAAUUUAAUAUGAUGCAAUGAACUCUGCUGGAGCAUCUAAAGGUCUGCAGAAGAAGAUUAUUAUGGCUGGAGGAAUUAUAAAGGGGAAACUAAGCUAAAGAGUGAUGCAAAUCAACAGUAGAAGAGCCACCACUGCUGGAAAGCUGAGUGAGCAGCAGUAAGAGUAGUUCCUUUCUUGCUGGGAAGAUGAAGGGAGCACUCCAGCUAUGUUUACUUGUAGCAGCUGUCAGAAUAAAAU